AGCAACCCUAAAAGAACAAAGUGUGACAAAACCUCAGAAAAUCCCUUAGCUGCUGCUUUCAGUGAGGGUCGUACCACCUGGACAGAAUAAACCAAGAGCAUAUCCUCAGAUGAGGAUUAAAACAAAACAAAAAACUCCAUUCAGAUGAAGAAAUAGUGAGGCUAAGAAGAAUGGGAUAAUUAGAACAAUGAAUGCUUUUCAUCUCAAAAGAUAAGCAUUUAAAUGGAGCUAAGGAUAAAUCCAUGAGAGAGAGAAUCUGGGCAAUGAUUUCAAGGAAACCCCCUCGCAACCCCAGAGGAAGAAUAUGACCUAUGUUUCAUAUUCUCCCUUUCUAAAUUAUUUGAAAUUUUUAAACGUACAUGUUUUGCUUUUAUUUGAAAGAAAAGCUACUAUCCUCAAGAGAAAAGCUAAAGUAUGCUGCCCCCUGGGAGCUGCUGUAUUUUAUUACCCUGGGAACCUAGAGUAGACAUCUGUUGUAGUUACUUACUUGCCAAUCAGCAGAUCGAAUGUCUGUUCCAUGACCUUCUGGAUACCAAGUCUAUCUAUGUCUCUCAUGGAAAAAUACUGGAUAUCAUAAUUCUUUAAAAUAAAACUGUAAUGAGAUAUAAAGGAAGGAAUCGUUAAAUAGCAAGUUAAAUGCACAUUUAGAUGGGGUUUUGUCUUUACAGUGGUCUACAACAAGUUAAGGCAAGGAACAACAUAUCAAAUAAGUGGCCAGGAUAGGCCCAAAGUUUAUAACCCUAUAUCUCAACUUACUGUUCAGGAGGGUCCACAUCUCUUAGACCAAUAUACACAAUACUUGGGGAAGAGAUACAAGGUUUGAUCCAGGAAAAUCCUGGGAGCUGUGGCACCUAUGUAGAGAGGAAUGAACAGGAUUCAUCAAGGAUUUUUGGUCUCGCCAAGAAAGUCACCAUGUGCUUCCCAUUAUAUGCAGUUUGCUUUGUCAUCCAUCUACAAGAUAUGCUUAAGCAACACAAGACACACUUGAUCUGGGAAAGAAAAUUGAUACAAGUGGAAAUGAUUCAGAAAGGCAACUGACGAACACAGUAUAGCAUUCUCAAGCAGAAUAAAAAUCUUUUCUCCUAA